CGCGGCCUAUCAGCUUGUUGGUGGGGCAGUGGCCUACCAAGGCGACGACGGGUAGCCGGCCUGAGAGGGUGACCGGCCACACUGGGACUGAGACACGGCCCAGACUCCUACGGGAGGCAGCAGUGGGGAAUACUGCGCAAUGGGCGAAAGCCUGACGCAGCGACGCCGCGUGGGGGAUGACGGCCUUCGGGUUGUAAACCUCUUUCAGUAGGGACGAAGCGCCAGUGACGGUACCUACAGAAGAAGCACCGGCCAACUACGUGCCAGCAGCCGCGGUAAUACGUAGGGUGCAAGCGUUGUCCGGAAUUAUUGGGCGUAAAGAGCUCGUAGGCGGUUUGUUGCGUCGGCUGUGAAAUCCCGAGGCUCAACCUCGGGUCUGCAGUCGAUACGAGCAAACUAGAGUGUUGCAGGGGAGACUGGAAUUCCUGGUGUAGCGGUGAAAUGCGCAGAUAUCAGGAGGAACACCGGUGGCGAAGGCGGGUCUCUGGGCAACAACUGACGCUGAGGAGCGAAAGCGUGGGGAGCGAACAGGAUUAGAUACCCUGGUAGUCCACGCCGUAAACGUUGGGCGCUAGGUGUGGGGCUCAUUCCACGAGUUCCGUGCCGCAGCUAACGCAUUAAGCGCCCCGCCUGGGGAGUACGG
rnacentral:rRNA from 1 species